ACGAACGCUGGCGGCACGCUUAACACAUGCAAGUCGAACGAGAGAAGAGAAGCUUGCUUUUCUGAUCUAGUGGCGGACGGGUGAGUAACACGUGAGCAAUCUGCCUUUCAGAGGGGGAUACCGAUUGGAAACGAUCGUUAAUACCGCAUAACAUAAUUGAACCGCAUGAUUUGAUUAUCAAAGAUUUAUCGCUGAAAGAUGAGCUCGCGUCUGAUUAGCUAGUUGGUAAGGUAACGGCUUACCAAGGCGACGAUCAGUAGCCGGACUGAGAGGUUGAUCGGCCACAUUGGGACUGAGACACGGCCCAGACUCCUACGGGAGGCAGCAGUGGGGAAUAUUGCACAAUGGAGGAAACUCUGAUGCAGCGAUGCCGCGUGAGGGAAGAAGGUUUUAGGAUUGUAAACCUCUGUCUUCAGGGACGAAAAAAGACGGUACCUGAGGAGGAAGCUCCGGCUAACUACGUGCCAGCAGCCGCGGUAAUACGUAGGGAGCGAGCGUUGUCCGGAAUUACUGGGUGUAAAGGGAGCGUAGGCGGGAUCGCAAGUCAGAUGUGAAAACUAUGGGCUUAACCCAUAAACUGCAUUUGAAACUGUGGUUCUUGAGUGAAGUAGAGGUAAGCGGAAUUCCUAGUGUAGCGGUGAAAUGCGUAGAUAUUAGGAGGAACAUCAGUGGCGAAGGCGGCUUACUGGGCUUUAACUGACGCUGAGGCUCGAAAGCGUGGGGAGCAAACAGGAUUAGAUACCCUGGUAGUCCACGCCGUAAACGAUGAUUACUAGGUGUGGGGGGACUGACCCCUUCCGUGCCGCAGCAAACGCAAUAAGUAAUCCACCUGGGGAGUACGACCGCAAGGUUGAAACUCAAAGGAAUUGACGGGGGCCCGCACAAGCAGUGGAGUAUGUGGAUUAAUUCGAAGCAACGCGAAGAACCUUACCAGGUCUUGACAUCCGAUGCAUAGCACAGAGAUGUGUGAAAUCCUUCGGGACAUCGAGACAGGUGGUGCAUGGUUGUCGUCAGCUCGUGUCGUGAGAUGUUGGGUUAAGUCCCGCAACGAGCGCAACCCUUACUGUUAGUUGCUACGCAAGAGCACUCUAGCAGGACUGCCGUUGACAAAACGGAGGAAGGUGGGGAUGACGUCAAAUCAUCAUGCCCCUUAUGACCUGGGCCUCACACGUACUACAAUGGCUGUCAACAGAGGGAAGCAAAGCCGCGAGGUGGAGCAAACCCCUAAAAGCAGUCUUAGUUCGGAUUGUAGGCUGCAACCCGCCUACAUGAAGUCGGAAUUGCUAGUAAUCGCAGAUCAGCAUGCUGCGGUGAAUACGUUCCCGGGCCUUGUACACACCGCCCGUCACGCCAUGGGAGUCGGUAACACCCGAAGCCUGUAGUCUAACCGCAAGGAGGACGCAGUCGAAGGUGGGAUUGAUGACUGGGGUG
rnacentral:rRNA from 1 species